ACUCCUACGGGAGGCAGCAGUGGGGAAUAUUGCACAAUGGGCGCAAGCCUGAUGCAGCCAUGCCGCGUGUAUGAAGAAGGCCUUCGGGUUGUAAAGCACUUUCAGCGAGGAGGAAGGGGUGUUGUGUUAAAUAGCACAGCUAUUUUGACGUUACUCGCAGAAGAAGCACCGGCUAACUCCGUGCCAGCAGCCGCGGUAAUACGGAGGGUGCAAGCGUUAAUCGGAAUUACUGGGCGUAAAGCGCACGUAGGCGGUUAUGUUAAGUUGGAUGUGAAAGCCCCAGGGCUCAAACCUGGGAAUUGCAUUCAAAAACUUGGACACGACUAGAGUAUGUNAGAGGGGGGUAGAAUUCCAAGGUGUAGCGGUG
rnacentral:rRNA from 1 species